rnacentral:rRNA from 1 species
UUCUGACCUCGGAUCAGGUGGGACUACCCGCUGAACUUAAGCAUAUCAAUAAGCGGAGGAAAAGAAACUAACAAGGAUUCCCCUAGUAACGGCGAGUGAAGCGGGAUGAGCUCAAAUUUAAAAUCUGGUAGUCUCUGGCUGCCCGAGUUGUAAUCUA